AAACUAACGACGCACACGUUUCGACACAACAGUUAGGGUGCUUGCACUUACGCCUCACUGGGUAAUUGCGGGUUGGCUGUUGGGAAGCGUGGAGGCCUAAC
rnacentral:sRNA from 1 species